CCCAUUCAGUUCCUUGUUAUGAAGACAGCCUGAGCUCCCUCGUGCCCGGCUCAGCCAGCAUUUACUGUGCUUGGCAAUGAUCAAGGUGUGUGUCAUCCUCAGAGUCUGCUUUCUGUGGCUGUACACUUCACUAUCAUGCAAGAUCUUUAUUUUCCCAAUAUCCAACCUUUCCUGACUCUGGAAGAUCUACAGUCUUUAAAAGUUCUUGAGUGACAACUGGUCCUGGAGCUAGUAGACAAAAAUAUCCUCUCUUGUGAAUAUGUCAGCUUGAGAAGCUGGAGAAGUCAAUCAUUGCAACACUGAUGCUUAAUUUCAAGCCAACUGUAGCCUAGAAGAAUAUUCUGAAGAAAAUUCCCAGGACUACUGGGAACUGGUUUAAGGAAGACAGACUUCUCAGAGCCAAGAAAGCAAGAACAUCAACUUCUCUGAAAGUGGGAAGGAGUUUCGAAGAGGCUUAGUCAACCACAAGACUUGAGAGGCAGCCAUUUUCAUCAUGAGCAGCUCCAGGAGGUCAAGGACUGGAGGCUCAGGAGGAAGCAGCAGCCAGAGCCAGCACAGGUCACCUCAAGGUGCUGGAGCUACACAAGUGUCUCUGGGUACAGGCAUGACUGGAGCCACAUGGCACAGGACAAUGAAGGCAGGAAUCCGACUGCUCAUGGGAUGAUAUGGGAGGAACCCACAGCCCCUGCUGACAGAGACUGCGACUAGUACGGAGAUGGUAAAAAAUAAAUCAGGGUUGAAUGCUAAAAGGCUUUAUGUAACAAGCUGUCAUGAGUGCUGAGCAGUCAAAAAUCUGUUUAGGAACUAGUGGGAAAUUGAAAAGGAAAGAAGCCCAGGGAGGAGGGAGCCGUAAUAGCCCCAGCUCAGCUGGGACCUAGAGCCCCACACAGUUGGGAUCCAAGUGGAACUCACAAAGCAUAAGGUUCAAGGGCCCACCAGAGGAUCUGCUUGGGAGGCAGAUGGCCUAGUAGAAGAGAUGACAUUGGGGAAUUUUCUGAAAUAGAGAAGAUGUUCAAAGGCAAAAGUCAAGGCGUAUCAGAAACCUGAGUAGGUUAAACAAAAUAGGCAGAGUCACGUCAACUAAGAUGAAACCCAAGGACCAAGAGGACCCUAAGGGCUGCCAGGAGGCUGAGCACAGUCAGAAGAAAGUGGGAAGCCAAGCUGAGUUCCGAGAAGUAUUUGCGACACAGAGAUUGAAAACGGAAGAGAGAACAUAGCCAACCCCGCAGUGCACAGCUCCUCUUACACACGAAAAUGAAGAGCAUUUAAAAAAAAGACUAAUUGUCAUCAAAUGUAUGAAGAGGGUAACUCACCAUGCUUCUGGGGUGUGCAUAUGAGGCCCCGUGGUUUGGCAAGAAGAGUUGUUACCUCUGUGUGGGCACAGCUCAUGUUCCACUUCGAUGCUGCUGCCUUUAUUUCCCUAAGACCCUCUGUUGGGCUUGGCCCUAGAUCCCCCAACAUCCUUCCAUAAGGACAGACAACUUUGCCUAUUUUCAUGAGCACACAUAGGACGAGGGGUCAGGAUAAGAGGAAUUCUUCGGCCUCUCAUUAUCGCAUUACCAGGAAGGAUAAGGAGUGAAUGUUUGAAUACUUGGAACACAGACAGACGAAGCCCGGGAGAAAGUGCUGCCUGAGCAGAAACGCAGUCAAGACCCCUUGCCUGGUCCUCAAGAAGAAGCCAACACUGACAGAAAAGGCUCCCUGCUAGAGGGCCCACCGCUGCCGCUGACUCUGCCUGCAGAAGUCAAUCUGGAUCCCAUUGCCUCUACGUUGAAGCUUCUCAUUUUCUCUGGUUUGGUUCCUCCCUCAGGUCAACUGUGACUGCAGAUGGAAUCAGUAGAAAACAGAGCCUAUAGGCUGGUAGUUUUGAGUGUGUGCCCACAGCGGAAUUACUGGAAACGCCAGGCAGACUCUCCCAAGUACCGCAGGCAUGUCUGGCUUCUGAGCCUCAGCAGGAAGUGUUUUCCUGCUUUUUUUUUUUUCUGUGAACAAUAUGAACUGGACUUAAUACAAAUACAGCAAACCAACUUCCUCUUGACUUAUUUUGGGGUGAAUUUUGCCUUUCUGUAAACUCCCAUAGAAUUUUUUUUUGGUGUAUUUGCUUUUAUGUAUAUGAGUGCUCUGUCUUCCUGUAUGUCUGCAUCACAGAAGCAGAUAUCAGACUCCACCAUAGGUGAUUUUGAGUUACCAAGUAAUUGCUGGAAAUUGAACUCAGGACUUCUGGAAGAGCAACUAGUACUCUUAACCAUCAAGCCACCUUUCUAGCCCCUUUAAACAAUAUUUAGGCAUUAAAAAAUAAUAACGAUUUCAAUAACGAUCAAGCCAAAUUCAUUCCUAAUUUAAAGAAUUUUUAGCAUUUUUGGUGGUGGUUUACAAUGAUACAGGAAAAUUAUAAUUAAAUUAGAGAUGAAAAAUAAUGUCAGGUGGAUCUCUCCAACCAUAUUGCCUGUAAAACAAUGACUCAGAAGACAGCUCCAAUGCACAUGUUGUUUUUUCCUGAUGUAUGAAAAACCAGAAGAAAUACCGUGCCUCUCCUCCAUACACACACUGCUGCUGCUCUGCCCACUGCGCACAGUGACUCUGACUUCUCAGGAGUUGGGCAGUGAGUAUGCAACAGCUCCGUACACCUGCAUCCACAUAGAAAAGUCUGCGCAUGCCCAGAGCUCCCAACACUCAGGCACCGUCACAGAACCCUCUUUGUUGUGUUUCCACAGUACUAUUUUUUUAUAAGAUACAGAGGGGUGAGCGUAUGAAACAAGUCACAGUGGUGUGUCACAGCAUCAGAAGAGCAACCUCUCCAAUCACCAGAGACGAGCUGCCUUUGACCCUCUCAGGACUGAUCAUGACUUUUUUUCUGUGGCCCAGACAGUGGAUUCAGGUGUCACUGGGAGAGUUCAAGUUCGGGGUUCACUGGGAAGUUCAAAAGAUCUGAGAGUCACUCUGUUUUGAAACAUGCCCUGAUGUCAAAGGUAAGGCCAGGGGCAGGAGACCAUAGGCAGAGUUGGUUAGGCCUGGCCUAGUAGUGAUGCCCUCUCAUCUGCAAGGUAUAAUUCCCGAUUGGUGCUCUAACAGGAGGCUCUAGCAAAUGAGCAAAGGCCAAAAGGGACAAGGUCACAGAUACUUGGUGUUGAAAUGAAUCUGUGGUCUUGGAUGGGAGCAGGGUGAUUUCAUGAUUAGACUGCCUGUUCAUGAACUAUCUGUCUACCACUUCUACUUACCUUCAGGUAACGUCAGCACAUCUCUAGGCGUUUCCUGGGCUCUUGCCUCACUGAAAGUCACAGUAGACGGAAUGCCACAAGGCUGUGACAAUGAGUAUGUAUAUGAUAGAAGGCGGCCUCCAACUUCUACAUCCAUAGCCACCCAUUCUUCCAUCAAGCAUCACUUUACAGGAUGCAGGAGAGUGAUGUUCACUGAUGAAGAAGCACAAAGAAUAUAUAUAUGGAAGCAAAGGGCAGAAAAACUGGUUAGAUUGUGAGGGGGUGACACAUUGUCUAAACAGAUGUUCUGUCUCCAGCCACCUUAACUAAUCAAACACAGGUGCCUGGAAGCAACAGAACUCUCUUGAUAUCUCAUAGCCUCUCACCUUAUGUAUGCCUGUGAUCCUCAAUGUCACUUGGAAUGCACAGAUGCGACCUCAUUCCUUUAUCCACCCUCAGAGGGUCACUUCCUGAGAGCCUCCCUCAUGAUCCACCCUACCCUUGUGCCUACCUCCCCAAAUGCUAGCUAGUGCAGCGUCCCUAGUGAGCACAUCUUAUUCACCCUGGCAGGGACACUUCAUUUAUGAAGGUCGUAUCCACAGGGCCCAGAGGCUAGGGCUUAAACACAGUGCCUCUCAGAUCAGAGGUAGGGACAGAUUUGGACAAGUAAAAGUGACGUGAACAAAGGUCACGUGGGCUGCAGGCAAGAGACAAUAAGACCUGGUCCUGGGGAGCAAGGUAGGGAGAUGGGGUGUGAAGAUACCAUAGAAGGGUGGGAAGCCAGGCCUGCUGCACCUGAGGAGGUGGCCUGAGUGCAGGGACCUUUUGGGCCUGGUUUUAGGGGCAGGGUUGACCUGGAAGUCAUUCCAAGGAACUUUCAUUGCAUCUUCAAGGAAUCCAAGAUGUUGAAGCCCAGGGUUUCCCUUAGCUUUCCCAGAUGAGCCUCAUCUGCAGACACAUGAUGUGUCAGAGCAUCUAGCAUGGCUUUACCAGGUGUCAUGUGGACAGCUCAGCGUGCGAGUAUAGCAUGUUGGCUUAAGCUUGCCAAAUGCGCACCGUUGCAUAGAGUGACUUGCAUUUCAUAGCUCACAGCGACCUAGAGAGAUUUAAAAGACUAGAGUUUGCAGAUAAGGAAGGUGACGCCCCCAGCUGUGCAGUGUGCCCCCAAGCCCAUGAUAGCAGCUUGCCUUUUUGGAGAUUUUUUUAGGCAAUUCAUGUUUAAGGCAAGGAUCCUGGACUUGAAUUCUACUCCAGACUUUGAAAACAGCCACAUGAAAACCUGCUUCCAGUGGCACGAGAUUGGAGCAGCUAAGAGCGCUCCAUCUUAGGAAGGUAGUGCAGGGCAGGUUUCCCAACUCCAGAAUGUAACUGGGAUUCUGCUUGCUUUCAUAAGAGCGGGUUCAGGAAUUUUUCAACAGAAAGAAAAACAAAAGCCUGAAAAACGAAAACACUAGAGACGCUAAGGGAAGCCAAGGAGAUGGAUCUGCUUGUGCCUGUUCCUUGUCCAGCGGAGACUCAUAAGCUUGGAGGGCCUUGGGACCCAGCUCCUUGGCAAAGGCAGCGGAUGCAUCUGUUGGACACCUGGGCACAGCUCUUGAGUUCCUUUCCCCACAGCCUCGGCCUCUCACUGAGGCCACAGAGGAGUGGCACGUUGUGUCGCAAAUUCACAGGAAACUGAACUGAACGGGGCCUUUGUUAAACUUUGAUCUAACACUGGGCCUAUAGUCUCUCAAUGGUGGCGAUAUGUCUUCAUUGUCAAUCACCUUAGCAGCCAGUGUCCUCCAAAGGUCAGCCAGCCUUGAUGCAGAGCAGAGAGACAAGCUUGCAGCAGUUAGGGUACAGAGGGCUUCAUUUUCUGGACCCAUAAACUUUCAUUUGGCCUCUGAUGGUUUUGGGGCCUCACCAGCAAUGUUGAUAGUGUAGGGCAUACAACCACUAUCCUGCACUCUGCUUGUCCUUAGCCUUUGUUCCCUGUUCCUACAGACCUGGGAGUUGACUAUGUUGUAGAGCCAGCAUUAAACUUACUCAGCUGUGCUUUGCAGAGACUUCAGCUAAAACAGCCACCUUCUAAAGGGCUUUUCACAACUGUGUCCAACAAAAUACUUGACUGCAGAAGGGCAAGGUAUGCUUCAUGUUUAAAUUAGUUAUGGGAAAACUAAUUUUCCUAAUUUACAUUUUUUCAAGGGGUGACUUACAUUACAUUAAAAUUAUCCACAUUUUAGAUAAUAGAACAGCUUACGAAUGGUCUUUUAUGAUGACACUAGAAAAAAACCAUGUUGCUUUGUAAUCUGUAUUUUAUUCAGCUUUCAUUUCUUGGGGAGAAGGGGACACUGGGAUUGCAUAAGUUGAAUACCAAGUUAUGACUUCCCAAAUUAAACAUUAUCCACAUCAGCUCCUGCCUCUGGUUCAUGUGAGGAUACAUUUACGCAGCUGCUUUUCAUAACCCCAAACUCCUGAACAUAAUCAUAAAUUCUCUAGAGCCAGAAGAAAAGCCUGAAUUCCUUUCUUACAUAACUACCCAUGUCUUAGAAUGUGGUUCGGAUGUGACUAGAGCUCCCGUGGAGAUCAGCUGACCCCCACAUGAUCAGCUGACCUGGUGUCACUCUGGAGGGGUCUGCAGAGUGUCGGAGGCAGCUCCAGGAGGAAAUCCACCGGGGUGAGGAGAACCAAGACCACCAUAGCUGCAGAAGGCUAGGUGCCCUUGGUGCUGGCCUCCUCGAUCUACAGACUCCUCAGGGACUUCAGCAGCUCACACAUGUGUUUAUUUGAAUGUAUCAUCUGAAGUGUCAGUUGUCUGGCAGAAACUUGAUAACGUUCUCUUUAGCUUAAUCCAAUUCAAAGAUCCCAACGGGCAGUUACCAUGUAACAAAAUGGUGUCUAGCACCAUGGCUAGAGGGGACCCAUGUUUUAGUCUUCACCCUCAAGAUAUGCAGAAACCAGGAGGCUGCAUGUUAUGACACCAGUGAUCACAGAGACUCUCAGCAGAAGGCUGUGUGUCCAGUAAGAGCUAUAAGUGCUACUGAGGAAACUAAGGCUGGCCAGCCAAGAGUGAGCAUAGUAUAGGCAGAGGCAGGAGCAGCGUUCCUGUACCUCUAACCAUUAUUCUGGUAUGGCAAAGAAGUGGACAUAGGAACAGUAUCAGAGCAGGGAGUAAGGAGACUCUCAGAUGGGGACUGAGAGUGCAAGUCAGAGCAACAUUGUGUAGAUUAGCCUGGGCUAGUCUAGAGACUAAAGUCCAGCCAGUGAGCUACAGAAGAAAGUAAUGUAUUGUAGACUGGCUAUUUGCAGGGAGGAGACUUUCACAUAUAACAGUUAUGAUGUGGAUUCCUGGCUGUCCAUCAGUCUGUGGUGGUAAUUACACAUGACACACCUGGAUAUAUACAACAUAAAGAAUACAAGGGUAAAUGCUAAGUGUUCAGGAAUGUUAGAGACUAAGACCUUAGAGGGUUCGUGGUGGUAGUUGCUGUUUCAUGGCACACACACCUGCAGCUCUGGUGAGAUCAUAUUAAGUCUGUAGAGGUAGAUGCUGAGACAGGGAUUCAUGAUGAUGGAGAGGGAGAACCAAGGCUGUGAGACCAGACUUUCUAUUCAUCCCAAAGGAAAGCAAGCUGGGGGUAGAAGUCGGGAGGGUGCAUUAAAUGUCACUAAAGGGAGUCAUAAAGGAGAACUUGGUACUUGUGAAGGUAACUGGAAAAUAAGAAAAAUGAAAUUAGAGGGGAGAGAGAUUAUUUUGUUUGCUUCAAAGCAAUGUCUGCCAGGUGAAAUGUUUUUCUCUGGAGAAUGAUGGAUGGCCCUUCCUUUGGACAAUUCCUGUCCUGGGAAGUGUGAAGUAUGUUUAUCAAUGUAUUAUAUAUAAGAGGAUUAUAAGAGGUAGACAUGACAGGUCAAAAAAUGCUCUUUGUCUAGAGUUUGGGACACUUUCUCAUUGUCUUUGGGAAAUAGGUCAUAGAGUUUUGGUUUAGCAGAUACUGACAAGUUGGAAUCUCCCAGCCUUUUGUUUAAUUUCAUAUCACAUUUCAUUAUAAAUGCAACAUACUUACUUAAAGCAUUUCUAUGCUGUGGCAGGUAACACAGGUCUGUGGAGGAGUGUUUGAGAUCUCUAACACUCUACAGUAGAGCCUAACACAUUGUUGUUGAAAUGAAAGUUAGGUAACUUGCAAAUGUUACAAUUCUCAUAAUCACACUACUCAAUAGUAACCACUGUGCAUAAAGCAGGCUUAUUUGUAUAUGAAUUCAUGUAUCUUAGAGGGUAAUAUCCAUGGAAACUACCCAGUAUGUUCAACAUGUUUAUUUUGAAGAUAUAAUACUCUUUUUUAUUGGAUAUUUUCUUUACUUACAUUUCAAAAAUUUUCCCCUUUCCGGGUCUCUCUUUCAGAAACCCCCUAUCCCAUCCUCCCUCCCCCUGCCUCUAGAAAUAUAAUACUCUUAUAAAAGCUUAAAAUGGGGAGCUGGAGAG